CCUACGGGAGGCAGCAGUGGGGGAUAUUGCACAAUGGGGGAAACCCUGAUGCAGCGACGCCGCGUGUGGGAAGACGGUCCUCUGGAUUGUAAACCACUGUCCCCAGGGACGAAGAUGACGGUACCUGGGGAGGAAGCGCCGGCUAACUACGUGCCAGCAGCCGCGGUAAUACGCAGGGAGCGAGCGUUGUCCGGAAUUACUGGGGGGAAAGGGAGCGGAGGCGGGGAUGCAAGUUGGGUGUCAAAACUACCGGCUCAACUGGUAGUCGCACUCAAAACUGCAGCUCUUGAGUGAAGUAGAGGCAGGCGGAAUUCCUGGUGUAGCGGUGAACUGCGUAGAUAUUAGGAGGAACACCAGUGGCGAAGGCGGCCUGCUGGGCUUUUACUGACGCUGAGGCUCGAAAGUGUGGGGAGCAAACAGGAUUAGAUACCCCUGUAGUC
rnacentral:rRNA from 1 species